rnacentral:rRNA from 1 species
CUACGUGCCAGCAGCCGCGGUAAUACGUAUGUCACGAGCGUUAUCCGGAUUUAUUGGGCGUAAAGCGCGUCUAGGUGGUUAUAUAAGUCUGAUGUGAAAAUGCAGGGCUCAACUCUGUAUUGCGUUGGAAACUGUAUAACUAGAGUACUGGAGAGGUAAGCGGAACUACAAGUGUAGAGGUGAAAUUCGUAGAUAUUUGUAGGAAUGCCGAUGGGGAAGCCAGCUUACUGGACAGAUACUGACGCUGAAGCGCGAAAGCGUGGGUAGCAAACAGGAUUAGAUACCCUGGUAGUCCACGCCGUAAACGAUGAGCACUAGGUGUCGGGACAUGAGUCUCGGUGCCGCAGUUAACGCAAUAAGUGCUCCGCCUGGGGAGUACGCACGCAAGUGUAAAACUCAAAGGAAUUGACGGGGACCCGCACAAGCAGCGGAGCAUGUGGUUUAAUUCGAAGCAACGCGAAGAACCUUACCAAGACUUGACAUCCC